CAGCAGUAAUGGGAGCUGGUUUGAGUGGCACGGAGCAGCAUUUAGACCCAACGAUCUCCUGGCAUCAUCUAGGGGCAGUAAAGAGUUCUACAUCUGAACAUCUGACCUUUUGAUGAAACUUAUGACUGAUGGAAACAAUAUGACUUCUGGGGCCUCAUUUGUAAAAUGUUGCGUAGAAACAUAUGCGCAAAAACUGCAAUGAAGGACAUUUAAAGACUUUACCUUCCACAGCACUCUGCAAAAAAGUCGACACCCUUACUUUUACUACAAUACAACAGUGUUCUUGCACGCUUUAUAUUGUUUAUAUAAUAUAUAGUAAUAUUCUGAAUCAUAAUGAACACAAAAGUUACUCUGUUCCACUAUAUGGUGCUCAAAUGAUGAAUAAAAUGAAUGAAACAUUACUUUUACUCAUGUUUUAAGGCAAUUCCAUUUUUAAAUGAUUACUUUUUUAAUAAAC